UACGUAGGGUGCAAGCGUUGUCCGGAAUUAUUGGGCGUAAAGAGCUCGUAGGCGGUUUGUCGCGUCUGCUGUGAAAACCCGAGGCUCAACCUCGGGCCUGCAGUGGGUACGGGCAGACUAGAGUGGCGGUAGGGGAGACUGGAAUUCCUGGUGUAGCGGUGAAAUGCGCAGAUAUCAGGAGGAACACCGAUGGCGAAGGCAGGUCUCUGGGCAUUAAACUGACGC
rnacentral:rRNA from 1 species